GAUGAACGCUAGCGGGAGGCCUAACACAUGCAAGCCGAGCGGUAUUGUUUCUUCGGAAAUGAGAGAGCGGCGUACGGGUGCGGAACACGUGUGCAACCUGCCUUUAUCUGGGGGAUAGCCUUUCGAAAGGAAGAUUAAUACUCCAUAACAUAUUGAACGGCAUCGUUUGAUAUUGAAAGCUCCGGCGGAUAUAGAUGGGCACGCGCAAGAUUAGCUAGUUGGUGAGGUAACGGCUCACCAAGGCGAUGAUCUUUAGGGGGCCUGAGAGGGUGAUCCCCCACACUGGUACUGAGACACGGACCAGACUCCUACGGGAGGCAGCAGUGAGGAAUAUUGGUCAAUGGGUGCAAGCCUGAACCAGCCAUCCCGCGUGAAGGACGACUGCCCUAUGGGUUGUAAACUUCUUUUGUAUAGGGAUAAACCUACCCUCGUGAGGGUAGCUGAAGGUACUAUACGAAUAAGCACCGGCUAACUCCGUGCCAG
rnacentral:rRNA from 1 species